rnacentral:miRNA from 1 species
GGCGGGCGCGGGGGUUG